rnacentral:piRNA from 1 species
UUAACAUCGAUGAUGGCAGGUUGUGUGCU